rnacentral:rRNA from 1 species
AUGCAUUUUCAUGACAGAGAUAAUAUUGAAAGGAGUAUGAUGAUGUCAGACAUCACAUAUUACAAUUUGGUAGCACUUAUGGAGACAGAAGGGUAUGGUUUUAGAGAUUAUAUGUAUUAUGUGAGGGACCCUGGGCUAGGGAUUGAAGGAAUGGAAGAAAUAGAUGAUGAUGAUAAGUUAGAGGAAAUUUUAGACCACAUAGCAGAGCAGAAUAACAAGAUAUUGAAUGUGACAAUAGUUAGGGCCAGUGCAGAGAAAGUUCCCAAUAUAAAUACCAGUGUUAAUGUCAUUGAGAUGCAGACCCCAAUAGAACAAAUUGGAGAGCCCAAACUGUAUCAGAUUGAUGAUGAAGGAGUGUUGUUCAAUGCUGAAAAUGUGCAUGUAGAAGCUGAGAGUUGUGAUGCAGGAGGAGAACAAGAGCCAAUGCCCUUGCAGUUUGACACACAGCAGAGCAGAAUAAAUGUGAGCCUGGAACCUGCUUUAGGUGAUGCAGUAGUGGAAGAAUACCAUGUGACUGACAAUUCAGAGGAGCAACUGUUAAUAGAGCAAGAAAUGGAGGAGAAAAGGAGAAAUGAAAUUGAAAUGUUUAGGAAGAACAAGAAGGAAAGAGCGAAGGAGACUUGUUUGAACAGGAAAGCAGCAGUGAUGGACAAUGAAGAGGAUAGUGAUGAUGAUGAUCUGGUAGAAUAUGGUGAUAUCUUAGCUAGGCUUGAGGAGAUGAGAAGACAGAGGAAUGACCCAGAACUUCAUUUUGAAGGGGACACAGAUGUUGAGGAAAUGUGUGACUCAGAGGUGGAUGAUGAGCUGUAUGUGCCACAAGGUGAAGAAGAGGAUGUAGAGGAGGAAGAGGAGGAGGAAAUGGAGGAAGAGGAACAAGAGGAUGAGCUAGGGCAAGAUGUACCAAACAAGAGAAGGGCCAAGAGACAAAGAAAAGGCCCAACAAGCAAUUCACAUGGGAGUAUAGAAGACAUGUUUGAGGAGGACUGGAUUCCAUCAUCUGAUGAGGACAAGAAACCACAAGACCUUGGUGUGGAAGAUGAUGAUGGUGCUGAGGCAUUGGCAUAUGUGUUGCCCAAUGGUAGAAAAAGCAGAGCAAAGAAGAUGAAGAAGAGGUUAUGGUUUGAUGAGCACAGAGCUCAUCCAGAGGAGCAAUUUGUGAAGCAUCUUUGCUUCUUAAAUGUGUACCAGUUUAGAACUGCACUUCAAACCCUGCACAUUGCUCAAAACAGGAACUUUGUCUACCAUAGAAACUGUAGUGAUAGGGUGAUAGCACAGUGCAUAGAUGAGCAAUGUCCCUUCUAUAUAGCAGCUUCUCAGAUUGCAAAUGAGAAGUCAUUUACAAUUAGGAAGGUGUAUUUAGUGCACACAUGCCCUUCUAUGUUAGAGAACACUAAAGUCACUGCUAAGUGGGUUUCAAAAUUCUGUGAGGAGGCUAUCAGAAAUGACCCAUGCACAACAAUCACAAGUAUUAUUAAUACUGCAAAGAGCAAGUAUGGUGUGGACAUAUCAACACACAUGGCAUACAGGGCAAAGAGGGCAGCAAAGGCUGUUGUGUUAGGAGACCAGAAAGCCCAGUACACCAGGAUUAGGGAUUAUUUACAGGCUGUGUUGGAUACAAAUCCAGGUUCAAGAUGCAUUGUGACAACAAGAUAUCUGAAGGAGCAUCCAAGCACUAACCCUAGGUUUCAUGCACUGUUCAUAUGCUUGAAUGGAUGCAAAGAAGGGUUUCUCAAUGGCUGCAGACCAUUCAUAGGUCUAGAUGGUUGUUUCAUCAAGCUCACUACUGGUCAACAAAUUCUAGCUGCAACUGGAAGAGAUGGGAAAAAUAAUAUUUUUUCCAUUGCUUUUGGAAUUGUUGAUAAGGAGGACACUAACUCCUGGACCUGA